rnacentral:rRNA from 1 species
GUUGACCUCGGAUCAGGUAGGAAUACCCGCUGAACUUAAGCAUAUCAAUAACCGAAGAA